rnacentral:lncRNA from 1 species
GCCGCGUCGGCAUCCAGGGCAGGGAGCCGCCGGCCCCGGCUCCGGACGGGGAGGCGCUGGCCCGGCCCGGCCCGGCCCGGCUCCGCUCGGGAAUGCCCCGGCAGGAAGGUGCCAGGGGUACCCGCAGCUCCGGGACUGUCGGGAACUCGCAGCUUGGCUCCCGCCCAUCGCGCUCGUCCCGCAGGGAAAAUCCCCGGCUCCGGAUCGGUAGCAGGGGUGAAACCUCCCAGAACGGGUCCCAAGGGCGCUGUGAAGGCUCUCGGUGCUGCAGCUUUUCUAUUCCAUUGGCAGAGAUUAUUUUACCUAGCCUUCAGGCGCGAUCAGAACUAAUGAACUCCCCGAGUUAAAGCUGCCCACGAUGCCCGUGCAGCCCUUGUCUGAGCAAGGGAAUCUUCUGAUUUCCCACUCUGAUCCAUGGGAAUUUAACACCCCUUCCCACUGGCACUGGAGAAUCCACAAAGCCGGCUCGCUUCCCUUUUGCUCCCUUGGUGCUUCAGGAUUACCAGGAAAAAGAAAUAAAGGCCCUUUAAAAAAUUGCACCAAAGAGGACUUGGCUGUUGGAGAGUUCCAGGGUUUCUCCUGCAAGGCAGUUUCUCUGAUUAGUUUUUCUCUGUCUUUAGAACAGAGAGUUGUGUUUAAGAGUAUUCCUCGUGGAGAAACAAACUGCGCUUUAGGAAACCUGGGAUCCAGAGGGGAAUGGAGACUCCCUUGGAUGUUUUGUCGAGAGCAGCAUCUCUGGUCCAUGCUGAUGAUGAGAAACGUUCAAAAUAGCAAAUCUUGUACCAAAGGAAGGAAGGAAUGGAAAAGGUCUCGGGUUGUGAAUUAAGAGAGGUUUUUGGUGCUGCUGCUCAUCCAUGGAACUUCUGCUUCAAGGGUGGAAGGGAAUCCAGUUGGUUUAAUAUGUUCAGGGUUCUUUUGAGAUCUAAAAUAUAUUUGUGUCCUUAAAUUCCUUCUUUGGAGAGUGUUGGGCUCUGUUCCUUUACCUGGGAGUCAUUGCAAAGACCGACUGAAUCCCUGCCUUGGUUUUUCCCAGUUUAGCCUAAAUAAGAAUUUAUCUUUUUCAUUAAAAGGUUGUAAUGAUGCUUCUAUUAAAAAAUCUUCUUUCCUGUGACUUCCAGGACUCCUCCAGCAAUGAAGUUUUUUGUUUUGUAGGACAAAACUUGCUGCAAUCCUGCUUGGUUGAGGGCCACACAACCACUUGAAUUCAGAUUUUUAUUUUGCAUUUUGUAAAUAGAUUUAUUAUGUGUGCAUUUUUCUGUGUGCUUUCAGAGUUUGGGGGGUUUUAAUCAGGGUUUCUCAACUCUUGGGCAUCUCUUAUUAACCAGCCCAACAGAAAUUUUCAUUUAGAGCUUGGCAACUUCUUCAGGACUUGGGUUGAGGGGAGAGUGAGAAGAUCUCCAGGAUAAUUUCUAAUAUGAAUAUAGAUGGAUUCACCACAUGGAUGUUCGUUUCUUCUUUUAUGGUUAAUUAAAAUAUUGAUUUGGUUGUGUUUUUGCCAGAUUGGCUGAGAGAAGAGGCAGAUAUUUAAUAGACACAAAAAGUUUG